UACGGGGGGGGGCAAGCGUUGUUCGGAAUUACUGGGCGUAAAGGGCUCGUAGGCGGCCAACUAAGUCGGAUGUGAAAUCCCCAGGCUCAACCUGGGAACUGCAUCCGAUACUGGAUGGCUUGAAUUCGGGAGAGGGAUGCAGAAUUCCAGGUGUAGCGGUGAAAUGCGUAGAUAUCUGGAGGAAUACCGGUGGCGAAGGCGGCAUCCUGGACCGACAUUGACGCUGAGGAGCGAAAGCUAGGGGAGCAAACGGG
rnacentral:rRNA from 1 species